AUUGAACGCUGGCGGCAGGCCUAACACAUGCAAGUCGAGCGGAUGAAGGGAGCUUGCUCCUGGAUUCAGCGGCGGACGGGUGAGUAAUGCCCAGGAAUCUGCCUGGUAGUGGGGGAUAACGUCCGGAAACGGGCGCUAAUACCGCAUACGUCCUGAGGGGGAAAGUGGGGGAUCUUCGGACCUCACGCUAUCAGAUGAGCCUAGGUCGGAUUAGCUAGUUGGUGGGGUAAAGGCCUACCAAGGCGACGAUCCGUAACUGGUCAGAGAGGAUGAUCAGUCACACGGGAAGUGAGACGCGGUACAGACCUCUACGAGGGGCAGGAGGGGAAUAUUGGGGACUGGGGGAGAGAGCCUUAUACAGCCGUGGCGCGUGUGAGGAGAAGGUCUGCAGUUUGUAGAGCUCUUUGUGGUGAGAGGGAGGAGAAUGAUUUAAUACCGUGCUUUUUAGACUAUACCAAGAGAAUGAGCACCCGCUAACCGUG
rnacentral:rRNA from 1 species